GUGAAAACCCCUACACAUUGAGAUUAAAUUAUCAUUCAUUCAAGAUUUCAAUCACAUUGUCAUAAACAUUAUUCAUUUAAGAUUAAUCGAUUUUCAUUUUAAACCAAACAAACAACAAUGUCGUAUGUUGCUUCUUCUCCUAAUUUUCAAAAACUCCAAAACCCUAAAUUCAUUCGCUUCUUCUCCUCUUCACCUAAAAGCCUAUACUCUCAAUUCCACAACCAAAAUAAAGACGAACAAAAUCUCGUUUGCUUAUUCAAUCAAUUGCUCCUUCAGAACAAUCCAUCCAUCUUCCGAUUUAACAAAAUUUUAGGUUCCUUUGUUAAGCUCAAUCAAUACUCCACUGUUGUUUCACUUCAUCGACAGAUGGAAUUAAAUGGAAUUUCCUCAGAUUUAGUCACUUCCAACAUAUUGAUCAAUUGUUUUUCACAAUUAGGUCAAAUCUCUCUUUCCUUUUCUGUAUUUGCCAACAUUCUCAAAAAGGGUUUUCAUCCAGAUGUCAUAACAUUGACUACACUCAUUAAGGGUCUCUGUCUCAAAGGUCAGAUCCAUAAAGCAUUCAACUUUCAUGAUAAGGUCGUAGCGCAGGGAUUCCGGUUAGAUCAUGUUAGUUAUGGGACCUUGAUCAAUGGGUUAUGUAAAGUUGGACAAACAAGUGCAGCCCUACAACUGCUGAGACGAGUUGAUGAGAAACUGGUUCAACCUACUGUGGUAAUGUACAGUGCAAUUAUUGAUAGUAUGUGCAAGGAUAAACUUGUUAAUCAUGCUUUUGAUUUAUACUCUGAAAUGAUUGCUAACAAACUUUCUCCUGAUGUAGUCACUUACAAUACUUUAAUUAAUGGCUUUUGCAUCGUAGGUCGGUUAAAAGAAGCAAUUGAUUUGUUUAAUAAAAUGGUAUCGGAAAACAUCAACCAUAAUAUUUAUACCUUUAAUACGUUGGUUGAUGCAUUUUGUAAGGAAGGAAAAGUGAAAGAAGCUAAAAAUAUGUUUGCUAUGAUGAUGAGAAAAGGUGUUAAACCUGAUGUUGUUACUUAUAACUCUUUAAUGGAUGGAUAUUGCUUAGUUAAAGAAAUUAACAAGGCCAAUGGUAUAUUCAACACUAUGGCUCAGAUGGGAGUGGCUCCUGAUGUUCAUAGCUACAGUAUUAUGAUUAAUGGAUUUUGUAAGAUUAAAAUGGUAGAUGAAGCCAUCAAUCUCUUCAAUGAAAUGCAUUGCAGAAAAAUUAUACCUGAUGUGGUAACUUACAAUUCCCUUAUUGAUGGUUUGUGCAAAUCAGGAAGAAUCUCAUAUGCUUUGGAGCUUGUCAAUGAGAUGCAUGAUAGAGGUCAACCACCUGAUAUAAUUACUUAUUGUUCUAUAUUAGAUGCUUUAUGCAAAAAUCACCAUGUUGACAAGGCAAUUGCUUUAUUAACAAAAAUUAAAGAUAUGGGUAUUCAACCAAACAUGUGCACAUAUAAUAUUCUUAUUGAUGGAUUGUGUAAAGGUGGAAGAUUGAAUGACGCUCAAAAGGUUUUUGAGGAUCUUCUGGUCAAAGGCUACAAUCUUGAUGUCUAUACAUAUACUGCUAUGAUCCAUGGGUUUUGUAAAAAUGGGUUGCUUGAUGAAGCAUUGGCCAUACUAUCAAAACUGAAAGACAAUAGUUGCAUUCCAAACGCCGCAACAUAUGACAUUAUUAUCCGUUCUCUAUUUGAUAACGAUGAAAAUGAUAAGGCGGAGAAACUUCUUCGUGAAAUGAUUUCAAGAGGUCUGUUGUAAGACUAAAACUAGAAUUUAUUGUUCUUAAUUGAGCUUAAGAAGAGGUGUUGGUCGUAGGAAACUGGGUUAAUUAAGAUUUGUUCUGUUGAGCCUAUCUUAGGGAUACUAAAUUGAAUUGGGACAGAACAACAAGAGAAAGGAGUUGGAGCUAGUGCAACCUCCUCCUUGUCAGUACCAAAGAAUCGAUGCGGAUUUCAAAUCAUCAAUAGUAAAGUACACAUUUUUUACCUUAUCAUGUUAAAAUAUUUAUACAAAUUAUAGUGGAGGUGUUUACUUUUUGUGUUGUCUGCCAACAAUCAAAGUCAUUUUUCACAUCAUCACAAAAUAUUUAAACCUCAAACAACAAAAACAGUGUUGGUAGCAUUUGGAUCAUAUGUUUGCGGAGAAAAUAGUUAUUAAAAAACACUCGAGACUCUCUAGAUGCGGUUUUGUAUUUUGCACUUUUGUUUUUUGACACAUUGUUUUUAAACUUGCACAUUGACACACAUUGUUUCUUUCAAAUUAUCAAACACUAUGGCAGUAUGGCUCAGAUGGGUCAUGGGAGUGGCUCCUAACGUUCGGAGCUACACUAUCGUGAUUAAUGGAUUUUGUAAGAUUAAAAUGGUAGAUGAAGCCAUUAAUCUCUUCAAUGAAAUGCAUAGCAGAAAAAUUAUUCCUAAUGUGGUAUCGUACACUACUCUUAUUGAUGGAUCGUGUAAUGUUGGAAGACUAGAGGAUGCACUAGAGAUUUUCAAAGAUCUUUUGGUCAAAGGCUACAAUCUAAAUGUCUAUACAUAUACCAUUAUAAUCAAGGGAUUUUGCAAAACGGGAAUGUUUGACGAAGCAUUGACCAUGCUAUCAAAAUGGAAGACACUGGUUGCAUUCUGAAUGCUAAAGCUUAUGAAACAGUUAUUUUUUCCCUCCUUAAAAAAGGUGAAAAUUGUAAAGCAUAGAAGCUUUCUUCGUGAAAUGAUUGCAAGAGAUCUACUGUAUGAUCAAGAUGUUAGAAAUAAAGUUUUAAUCCUUCUACUGAAGUCUACCAGGAACAAAUAGGUUAUCAUUUUUUUCCCUACAUUGCAUUGCAUUUAUCCUUUGGAUUUGUGUGUCUGCCCUUCCUUCUGACCAUCUUAAUAGAACUAAUCUUGCAAUUUCUGAUAAAUUUUGAAAACAUUUUCCAAAUGCUGAAACAUUGAUGUUGGGUUGCACUUCAAAAUUCCAGUGCCCAAGUCUGGGAACAAUGAUUUCAGUCCCCAAAAGUUAAAAAAUCCAAGCACUGUCUUGAUAGGUUGGACAUUUAUUGUUUACUGAUGUCAUUGAAAUUUGUUUCUUCAUAACCAAUCAUGGAAGCAUUGUCCUUUCAGUUCACGUUGCUAUUUUGUUGUCUGCCAUUAUGUGCAAGACUUUAAAUUAUGCUCAAGUUACUUUGGCAGCUGAUUCUGUUGUUAUAAUUUUAACUUCAGAAUCAUAUUUUCAGUAAUAAAAUGGAUUGCUUUUGGUUCAUAUUUAGCUAGUAGGGUUCCCUCCUUCUUUUAAAGUAGUUUUCCAUGUUCUGUCAAUUUUAUCUGUUUGAAUAUAUAUGUAAGUAUCUAUCCAAAUGGUCGAUGUCACAAGAAAUUCUGUUUUGUAAGUAUCUUUUAUAGCAAGUCUCCUUUUUGGAGGACAUGAAAUUGAAAGAUGGUUUAGCAUUAUGAUUCUUCUCAUGCUUAGUUGUUUUAGACUAGCAUGAUGAUAGUUGGUUUGUGUAGAUACUUAUCCUUUUAUAUAAGCAUGAUGUGUUGAUUAGGUUCUGAUAUCAACACACUAUAUUUACUGAGUAUGUAUAUGUACGUCUCUUUAUAUUAUGACAGGAUUGAUUUAUGA